GUGCCAGCAGCCGCGGUAAUACGUAGGGCGCAAGCGGUUAUCCCGGAAUUAUUGGGCGUAAAGAGCUCGUAGGGCGGUUUGUCGCGUCUAUCGUGAAAGUCCGAGGCUCAACCUCGGAUCUGCGGUGGGUACGGGCAGACUAGAGUGAUGUAGGGGAGACUGGAAUUCCUGGUGUAGCGGUGAAAUGCGCAGAUAUCAGGAGGAACACCGAUGGCGAAGGCAGGUCUCUGGGCAUUAACUGACGCUGAGGAGCGAAAGCAUGGGGAGCGAACAGGAUUAGAUACCCUGGUAGUCC
rnacentral:rRNA from 1 species